rnacentral:rRNA from 1 species
AUUGAACGCUGGCGGCAGGCCUAACACAUGCAAGUCGAGCGGUAGAGAGAAGCUUGCUUCUCUUGAGAGCGGCGGACGGGUGAGUAAUGCCUAGGAAUCUGCCUGGUAGUGGGGGAUAACGUUCGGAAACGGACGCUAAUACCGCAUACGUCCUACGGGAGAAAGCAGGGGACCUUCGGGCCUUGCGCUAUCAGAUGAGCCUAGGUCGGAUUAGCUAGUUGGUGAGGUAAUGGCUCACCAAGGCGACGAUCCGUAACUGGUCUGAGAGGAUGAUCAGUCACACUGGAACUUAGACACGGUCAAGACUCCUACGGGAGGCAGCAGUGGGGAAUAUUGGACAAUGGGCGAAAGCCUGAUCCAGCCAUGCCGCGUGUGUGAAGAAGGUCUUCGGAUUGUAAAGCACUUUAAGUUGGGAGGAAGGGUUGUAGAUUAAUACUCUGCAAUUUUGACGUUACCGACAGAAUAAGCACCGGCUAACUCUGUGCCAGCCGCCGCAGUAA